rnacentral:rRNA from 1 species
GAUGAACGCUGGCGGCGUGCCUAAUACAUGCAAGUCGAGCGAACAGACGAGGAGCUUGCUCCUCUGACGUUAGCGGCGGACGGGUGAGUAACACGUGGAUAACCUACCUAUAAGACUGGGAUAACUUCGGGAAACCGGAGCUAAUACCGGAUAAUAUAUUGAACCGCAUGGUUCAAUAGUGAAAGACGGUUUUGCUGUCACUUAUAGAUGGAUCCGCGCCGCAUUAGCUAGUUGGUAAGGUAACGGCUUACCAAGGCAACGAUGCGUAGCCGACCUGAGAGGGUGAUCGGCCACACUGGAACUGAGACACGGUCCAGACUCCUACGGGAGGCAGCAGUAGGGAAUCUUCCGCAAUGGGCGAAAGCCUGACGGAGCAACGCCGCGUGAGUGAUGAAGGUCUUCGGAUCGUGAAACUCUGUUAUUAGGGAAGAACAAAUGUGUAAGUAACUAUGCACGUCUUGACGGUACCUAAUCAGAAAGCCACGGCUAACUACGU